rnacentral:piRNA from 1 species
UCCGAGUGCCAGGAUUAGAGGUAAAGC